GCCGAGCCGACAAGAUGUUCUUGCUGCCUCUUCCGGCUGCGGGGCGAGUAGUCGUCCGACGUCUGGCCGUGAGACGUUUCGGGAGCCGGAGUCUCUCCACCGCAGACAUGACGAAGGGCCUUGUUUUAGGAAUCUAUUCCAAAGAAAAAGAAGAUGAUGUGCCACAGUUCACAAGUGCAGGAGAGAAUUUUGAUAAAUUGUUAGCUGGAAAGCUGAGAGAGACUUUAAACAUAUCUGGACCACCUCUGAAGGCAGGCAAGACUCGAACCUUUUAUGGUCUGCAUCAGGACUUCCCCAGCGUGGUGCUAGUUGGCCUCGGCAAAAAGGCAGCUGGAAUCGACGAACAGGAAAACUGGCAUGAAGGCAAAGAAAACAUCAGAGCUGCUGUUGCAGGUUAUUUCACUUUUUAAGUUUAAAGAAUCCUGAGGAUCCACUCUUUUUGAUGACCUCUCUUUCCCCUUUUUGUCCUUUUACCAGUUGCCACCCCUUACCACGUUCACACAGAAAUAAUUCAUCUUAACAAAAAUUCAGUUCCUCUUGCUGAAUAUGAUUGCCCUUAUGAUAAAUACAGAAGGUUAGCUAAUGGAAUUUUAUUUUUAAUAUAUCUAUAUCUCGUUUGGGUGUUUUACUACCAUUUGUUCGCUCUUGUCAUAUUAGAGCUGUGUUUUCCCAGAACCUGUAGUGUAUAG
rnacentral:sRNA from 1 species